UAAUACAUGCAAGUCGAACGCGAAAGUACCUUCGGGUGCGAGUAGAGUGGCGAAAGGGCGAGUAAUGCAUUUCUAACGUGCCCCAAGGGCAGGGAUAGCAUCGGGAAGCUGGUGGUAAUACCUCAUAAUCCUGGUUGAUCGGAUGUUCAACCAGGCAAAGGCUUGGUCGCUCGGGGAGCGGGGAACAUCCUAUCAGGUUGUUGGUGAGGUAACGGCUCACCAAGCCAAAGACGGGUAGCGGGUGUGAGAGCAUGACCCGCCGCAUCGGGACUGAGACACUGCCCGGACUCCUACGGGAGGCUGCAGUAACGAAUAUUCCGCAAUGGACGAAAGUCUGACGGAGCAAUGCCGCGUGCAGGAUGAAGCCCUUCGGGGUGUAAACUGCUGUCAGAGUUUAGGAACACAAUGACCAGACUCAAAGGAAGGGCCGGCUAACUUCGUGCCAGCAGCCGCGGUAAUACGAAGGGCCCGAGCGUUAAUCGGAAUCACUGGGCUUAAAGCGUACGUAGGCGGACAUGUAGGUACUUUGUGAAAUCCCACCGCUCAACGGUGGAACUGCUAGGUAUACCGCAUGUCUUGAGACAGGUAGGGGUCGUUGGAACAAUAGGUGGAGCGGUGAAAUGCGUAGAUAUCUAUUGGAACGCCAAAGGCGAAGGCAAGCUGCUGGGCCGAAUCUGACGCUGAGACACGAAAGCAUGGGUAGCGAACGGGAUUAGAUACCCCGGUAGUCCAUGCCGUAAACGAUGUACACUAGUUCGAGAGGGCUCUGACGCCAGCUUGGACGAAGCGAAAUUGAUAAGUGCACCGCCUGGGGAGUACGGCCGCAAGGCUAAAACUCAAAGGAAUUGACGGGGGCUCACACAAGCGGUGGAGCAUGUGGCUUAAUUCGAAGCAACGCGAAGAACCUUAUCCAGGGUUUGACAUGCAUGGAUUAACUCCUAGAAAAGGAAGAGUUGCCCUUCGGGUGGAACGUGCACAGGUGCUGCAUGGCUGUCGUCAGCUCGUGCUGUGAAGUGUCGGGUUAAGUCCCUUAACGAGCGAAACCCCUAUCUUUAGUUGCCAACGGGUAAUGCCGGGGACUCUAGAGAGACUGCCGGUGUCAAACCGGAGGAAGGUGGGGAUGACGUCAAGUCCUCAUGGCCUUUAUGCCCUGGGCUGCACACGUGCUACAAUGCGGCGUACAAAGCGAAGCAAUAUCGUAAGGUGGAGCAAAUCGCAAAAAGCGCCGCUCAGUUCGGAUUGUGGUCUGCAACUCGACCACAUGAAGCUGGAAUCGCUAGUAAUCGCGUAUCAGCUACGACGCGGUGAAUACGUUCCUGAGCCUUGUACACACCGCCCGUCAAGUCAUGGAAGCCGGUAGUGCCCGAAGUGGCCCCGUAUCAGGGGUCCCUACGGCAAGAUCGGUGACUAGGACUAAGUCGUAAUAAGGUAGC
rnacentral:rRNA from 1 species